CCCGCCUUAACUCAGCCUGGUAGAGUGCGCGGCUGUAGUAUGUCUCGCACCGUAGAGGUGCUACGCGCAGUCACCGCGAUGUCCCCGGUUCGAAUCUGGGAGGCGGGA
rnacentral:tRNA from 1 species